rnacentral:lncRNA from 1 species
UACACAUGGAAUUGAUUUUGGUGCAAGUUUAUUUGGUCUGUAGCUGCGAAGGCAUGGAUAACACCGUGACCCGAAAAUUCGAAGUUUCUCGUGAUCUGGUGGCUGCUGGAACAAGGCUUCGUAUGGUGACAUAUUAUUUAACACUCUGGAUGGAUUACGGUUGUAAGUGUGAGCUGUUGUUAAUACCGCAUAAUCCCAGUAUUUAAUAGGAAUUUUGGCGUGAUGUAGUAUUGUGAGUGCCGUAUCUACUAAAUGCCGGUGUCGUCGCUCAACAGACCCCAUUUGUUGAUGGUUGUACGGGGCGGAGAACCGAUAGCCUAUCCCCACUUUUUCUAAGUUCCUUGCGAGUUUCUUGAAUUCCAACCCAUUGUCUGAUUGUACCUGUUUUAUCGUUGUACCACACUGCCUUUCUGCCCAUACCUGAAAUUUCACAAAUAUUUCUCCUACUUCUGCUUUGCUUUUCAUUGGGAAAACCCAAUUGUAGUUUGUUGAGGCGUCUACGAAAUUGAUAUAGUAACGAAACCCUUCUGAUGAAAUUACCGGGGCUGGUCCCCAUAUAUCAGUGUAGAUCAGAUCAAGAGGAGACGAGUAAAUUUUAUUACUUGGUUUAUGAGGUAGAGCAGUUGAUUUAUUUGUAAGACAAGAAUCACAACUAUUUAUUUUGUUACAGUCCGAUGAACAAUUUUUAUUGCCUAAUUUUUCCAUUGAUCGUUUGUUAAGAUGUCCCAGCCUUGCAUGCCAUUUUUCUCCUGAUAUUCUUUCGCUCGAGAGAACUUGUAUGUGAUUCGUUGUUUUCAUUGGCAAUUUGUAGAGUCCCCCUUCUUGUCUUCCCUCUGCUAUGACUUCAUUAGUCGUGAUAUCGCGAAUCCUUACUU